UGAAUUGCGAUAAGUAAUGUGACUUGCAUUCAUUUGUGAAUCAUCGAAUCUUUGAACGCACCUUGCACUUUGGGAGUCAAUCUCAAAGUAUACCUGUUUGAGUAUCAUAAACAUUUAUCCAAGUAAUUGGGAUUUGAGGCUCACUUUUUUAUUAUUUUAAUUUUAAUUUUAAUUUUAAUUUUUAUAAUGAAAAAAAAGGUGUUCCUUUAAAUAAUACAACAGAGUUGGUUGCAAUAUGCACGCUACUCGAGUGAGGUUAUUUGCAUUCGUGCAAAGAAAUCAUGAGGGAUUGUAAAUAUUGUAGCUAUUAAAGAUUCUGACGUUGUGUUAAAGCAACAAUUUUGUACAAAUGUGAUCUCAAAUCAGGCAAGACUACCCGCUGAACUUAA
rnacentral:misc_RNA from 1 species